UUCAACUGCUGAGUAAAUUUCUGAGCUUUUUUAUUUGUAUACAGUAACUUGUACACAUAUUACUGAAUGGACAAAAUUACUGUAAUUAAACCGCCUCACAAAUGAAACUCAAGUCGGAUGCUCAAACAUACAGAAACAAUCACCAAUUUUAGACAGUGACGUAAACCUUUAAACAGAGCAAAAAUUUGAUUGGCGGACUUGGACAAAGCGAUGCUCUUUUUACCCCCGCUGGGUGUUCUCUAUAUAAAACCAACAGGGAUCUUAUCCUUUUGAGCAGUGAACUUGCGAUCUCCAACUCACCAUUUUCUUUUCCGUCUUCUUCCUGGUGUGCCCAUAUCCCAAGAUCUGCUAGUGCUAGCAAUAUAUCACAACAUCAACUUUUUUGCUCGAUCUCAGGAACAUGUCGUGGCCCUGCAAUAUUGAAGGACCAGUGAAAAUGAACCAAUAUAUCACAACAUCAACUUUUUUGCACCUGCAAGUACGUCUGAACUUCAGACAAGAAAAUCACUUAGAAAAUGGACCUUGGGGGCGCUGAUGUGCUGGGCAGCCACACGCCAUAGCUGCCGGGCGGGGGAGUUGGAUCUGUACGCUUCAUGCAGCCUGUACACGAGAAAAUGGUCAAGGGCAGCUUCCUUAUCCAUUGCUGAACCUGCAAGUCGACGGAGAAGUCCUCCAGGCAUCUCACUGAUGAAUGACCAUGAGAGGCGGCUCAAACUUUUUAGUUCAUGCAUUUGAACGGGCUCGGGCUGCUGAAUCGAACUUCCUGUAGCAUCACAGAGACAAACAAGGGCUG
rnacentral:lncRNA from 1 species